GGCGCCUUCAGAUCUCAGGUGAGGUUACUCGGCGCCUUCAGAUCUCAGGUGAGGUUACUCGGCGCCUUCAGAUCUCAGGUGAGGUUACUCGGCGCCUUCAGAUCUCAGGUGAGGUUACUCGGCGCCUUCAGAUCUCAGGUGAGGUUACUCGGCGCCUUCAGAUCUCAGGUGAGGUUACUCGGCGCCUUCAGAUCUCAGGUGAGGUUACUCGGCGCCUUCAGAUCUCAGGUGAGGUUACUCGGCGCCUUCAGAUCUCAGGUGAGGUUACUCGGCGCCUUCAGAUCUCAGGUGAGGUUACUCGGCGCCUUCAGAUCUCAGGUGAGGUUACUCGGCGCCUUCAGAUCUCAGGUGAGGUUACUCGGCGCCUUCAGAUCUCAGGUGAGGUUACUCGGCGCCUUCAGAUCUCAGGUGAGGUUACUCGGCGCCUUCAGAUCUCAGGUGAGGUUACUCGGCGCCUUCAGAUCUCAGGUGAGGUUACUCGGCGCCUUCAGAUCUCAGGUGAGGUUACUCGGCGCCUUCAGAUCUCAGGUGAGG